GCCCAUAGUUGAAAGAUAAAGCGGUCUAAUCGGCACAAAGACCGGGACCAGAAAGCCCUAAUCUCUCUGAAAGCGGUUUAAUUUAAUCUUAAUCCUCUCUUAAUCUAACAAUUAAUUAUCUUACUUAAUUCUAUCCAACUGUCUGUCUAUAUUAAAACCCAUUGAACCUCCAACACAAGAGGCUUUUGGGGCUUAAUUUCACAAUCAAAAGACUAGGCCAUCUCCAGAUUUUACACGCUAAAGAGCUUCAACUUCAACUUUUAACUCCUUUCAGUCUCUGGCACUGCUUGCUUUGCUUAUAAUUUUAAUUUAAUUUUGUUAAAAGCCUCUUAAGAACGAUAUGGAUAGGUACCAGAGAGUGGAGAAGCCGAAAACUGAGACACCUAUAAAUGAAAAUGAGAUUCGAAUAACCACUCAAGGAAGGAUGAGAAAUUAUAUUACUUAUGCGACCACUCUCCUUCAGGAAAAGGAUCCAGUGAAAUUAUUCUUAAAGCAAUGGGCAGAGCUAUCAGAAAACUGUUAUGAUUGCCGAACUAAUAAAGGAUAUCUUGUGAUUUUGCCCCAUGUCUUGCUUAUUUAUUAAUCUUUUGAUUUUUUGUUAUUUUUCUUCAGAGGAAUUGUUGGUCUCCAUCAAAACACUUCAAUUGGAUCCACGGAUAAACGACAUGUGGGACCAUUAGAAGAAGGACUUCUUCCGUAUGAAACAUACUUUUCUAAUCUAGUUUAUCGAAUGCCUUAUUUUUAGUUUCUGGAAUAGGAGAUGAUUGAUUGUUUUUUUUGUUAUGUUUCAGUCAGAACUACUCGCCAUGUUUCAAUGAUCACUAUCACAUUGUCAAAGAAGGAGCUCAAUACAUCAUCAACAGGAUACCAGCCUCCUCUUCCUGCUGAUCAAGUGAAACCGUGGAAUAAUUUGAAGAUGAAGGAGAGGGUUCACCAAGGGCACGAGGUAAGGGCGUGGUGGUCGAGGAAGGGGUAGGGGUAGAGGAGAUUAUAAUGGGUGGUUGGGAUGGUGGACGUGGUAGAGGUCGGGACGUGCAAGAGGCCUUCUUCUCGGGGUAGAGGAGGGUUAUGGUGGUCAGUCCAGUGGGUAUUAUGAUUAUGGUGAAUAUGAUGGACCACCUCCACAGGGUCGUGGGCGUGGUCGUGGAAGGGGAUCGGGACGUGGGCGUGGUCGUAAUCCCAGAUCAGCAACAGUUGCGUAAGCAGGGAAAAGUUGGUGAAGUAUAAAGGUGUGGGGUUGAAAAAUGAUAAGUGGAUGCCUGCUCUGCUUGUGUUUACAUGAAGUUAGGUGAUAUUUAUGGGCAUUGUCUUUCAUUUCAAAUUGUGAAGUUUGGCAGCGACGGUGCUUGCAGUUCUUUUUUUAAGCAGAUUGUUGUGGCGUAGGAACAUUUUCUUAGUUAUUCAAUUUUGAAAAGUUUUUUAUAUAGCAAGUUAGAAGAUUGUACAAUUUUUUUCCGCUUUGUUCAUAAAAAUAAUAGAGCAGUACAUUCUUUCAUUCUUAAUAUAAAUACAUG